UCCAUGUUCUACUUGAAUGAUCAGUUGAAUCCCAAAAACCAUGUCUACCUUCUUCCUCUUCCUCCUCCUCCUCCUCCUCUUCAUCUCAACCCCGCCGCCCUCCUCCGCCCAACAAACCCUCUCCUCCUUCUCCAUCUCCAACUCCCCAUGGACCCCACGAGACGAUCUCACCCUCCUUUCCCCCAACUCCGCCUUCGCCGCCGGCUUCCUCCCCCUCCCCUCCUCCCCAAACCUCUUCAACUUCUCCAUCUGGUUCCACAACAUCUCCGCCGCAAACUCCGUCGUCUGGUCCACCACCUACCCACUAGCCCCCUCCGCCGCUCUCUCCAUCACCUCCACCGGCCUCCUCCUCCUCUCCAACUCCUCCUCCUCCUCUAACCAAAACCUCUGGCCAACACCCCCUCCGGUGAAACCAACACCACGCAGCUCAAGCUCCGCAACGACGGAAACCUAAUCUACGGCGGUUGGGAGAGCUUCACCUUCCCCACCGACACCGCGCUACCCAACCAGACUUUAACUGGAAACAACUUCACUUUAGUCUCCAAAAACCGCAAGUUCCGGUUCAUCAACUCCACCCAGCUCGUCUUCAACGUCACCGAACCCUACCAGGACCUCACCAACGCCUUCCAGAGCUUCGAAAGCGCCGGGAAAAUGACGCAGGCCAACGGCGCGUCCUUCAUCGUCUCCGACUUCGGUCUCAAAAGAUCAAGAAGACUCACUCUUGACAACGACGGCAACCUCCGCAUCUACAGCUUCGAUCCGAGCUUGCAUAGCUGGACAGUCGUCUGGCAAUCCGGCUACGAGCUCUGUCAGGUGCACGGCACGUGCGGACCCAACGCCAUUUGCGUCAGCGACGGCGCGACUUCAGACUACUACUGCGUCUGCCCGCCGGGGUUUACUCCGGUACCGAACGGAAAAAUCGAAGACCAAGGAUGUCUUAGGAAGAUCCCUCUUUCGAAAAAGUCCACCAACUUUCUUCAGCUCGAUUACGUCAACUUUACCGGCGGGUCAAACCAGACGAAUUGGCCCGCAACUAACUUCAGUCAAUGCCAGUCAAGAUGUUUAAGCAGAGACAACUGCGAGGGGUUCAUGUUCAAAUACGACGGCCAAGGCUUCUGUGUGCUGCAGCUGGACCGGUUGCUAUACGGCUACUGGUCGCCGGGGUCGGAAAGAGCUAUGUUUCUACGUGUUGACAAUUCCGAAACCGAUAAGUCAAACUUCACCGGCAUGACGGAGCUGCUGGAGACGACGUGUCCGGUGCAGAUCAGCCUUCCCUUGCCGCCGGAAGAGUCGAAUGCGACCACCAGGAACAUAGUGAUCAUUUGUACUCUUUUCGCUGCUGAGCUGAUUUCCGGGGUGUUGUUCUUCUGGGCCUUUAUCAAGAAGUACAUAAAGUAUAGAGAUAUGGCUCGGACGCUCGGGCUUGAGUUUCUUCCGGCCGGCGGGCCGAAGAGGUUUUCGUACGCCGAGCUGAAAGCGGCGACUAAAGACUUCUCGAAUUUGAUCGGGAGAGGCGGGUUUGGGGAUGUUUACAGAGGAGAGCUGACGGAUCAGAGGGUGGUGGCGGUCAAGUGUUUGAAACAAGUGACAGGCGGCGACGCCGAGUUUUGGGCGGAGGUGACGAUCAUUGCACGGAUGCACCACCUCAAUUUGGUCAGGUUAUGGGGCUUUUGCGCCGAGAAAGGUCAGAGAAUACUAGUAUACGAGUAUGUUCCAAAUGGGUCACUAGACAAGUACCUUUUCAAACCGGCUCGGGUUUCGUCUACGGAUCAGGACUCGGAAAAUGGAGCCCCGGCGGAUGAGAAGCCGAUUCUUGAUUGGGGAAUAAGGUACCGCAUUGCGUUGGGGGUAGCGAGGUCAAUUGCUUACUUGCACGAGGAGUGUCUCGAAUGGGUGUUGCAUUGUGAUAUUAAGCCGGAAAAUAUACUACUGGGCGAUGAUUUUUGCCCGAAAAUAUCGGAUUUUGGGUUGGCGAAGCUGAAGAAGAAGGAGGACAUGGUGAGCAUAUCGCGGAUGCAAGGGACACGAGGGUACAUGGCGCCUGAGUGGGUCAAGAUGGACCCGAUCACGCCCAAGGCUGACGUGUACAGCUUCGGAAUGGUGUUGUUGGAGCUUGUGAGUGGGGUAAGGAAUAACGAGAUUCAAGGGUCAAUGAUAGAGAGCGAGGAUUGGUAUUUUCCGAGAUGGGCGUUUGAUAAGGUGUUUAAGGAGAUGAAUGUGGAAGAUAUUCUGGACCGUCAGAUCAAGCAUUGUUAUGAUAGUAAGGCGCAUUUUGAUACGGUGAACCGGAUGGUGAAGACGGCGAUGUGGUGCCUUCAAGACCGGCCGGAGAUGAGGCCGUCGAUGGGGAAGGUGGCGAAGAUGUUAGAAGGGACGGUAGACAUCACAGAACCUAACAAGCCUACUAUAUUUUUCCUUACUGACGACUAGAGAAUGUGUUACUAUAAUAAUAUGAUACGUAGUUAGUGGCGGCCCGUCGUAUUUUUUUGUUUUUAGUUUACACGCGGCUCUUGUUUUAUUUUUACAUUUAGAGAAAUUAGGUAGUAUUAUAUUGUAAUUUUGGCAUUGGACAGAUGCUCACCCAAUCCAAAAUAUGUUGGGCUGCCAAACAAGGAAUAAAACUAUUC